rnacentral:rRNA from 1 species
AUUAAGGUGGGCUUAAAGGUACCAUCUCUAUUGAUAUAAGCAACGCAUCUUAUAUUUAAUUCCUUAGGGAAAUAAUGUAUUAUUUAUAUGCAAAGUAGAUAGGUUGCAUUAUUGUGUCCAUAGAAAGUUCUUAUGUGACGGUUGCGAGCCAUAGGGGUGACAGUGGGAAUCUUGGACAAUGGGCGAAAACCCGAUCCAGUAAUAUCGCGCAAGUGAAGAAGGGCAAUGCCGCUUAUAAAGCUCUUUCAUCAAGUGCGCAAUCAUGACAGGAUUCAAGGAAGAAGCCCCGGCUAACUCUGUGCCAGAAGUCGCGAUAAAAUGGGGGGCAAGUGUUCUUCGGAAUGAGUAGGCGUAAAGAGCAUGUAAGCGGUGAAUUGGGUUCUAAAUGAAAGUCGCCAAAAGUAGCGGAAUGCUUUCGAAACCAAUUCACUUGAGUGAAAUGAGGAGAGUGGAAUUUCAUGUGUAGGGGUGAAAUUCGGAGAUCUACGAAGGAAGACCAAAAGCAAAGGCAGCUCCCUGGGUCCCUACCAAUGCUAGUGUGCGAAAGCAUGGGAGCAAACAGGAUUAGAUAUCUUGGUAGUCCAUGCCGUAAAUGAUGAGUGUUCGCCGUUGGUCUACGCAGGUCAGAGACCCAGUUAAUGGUGAAACACUCCGCCUGGGGAGUACAGUCAUAAGGCCGAAACUCAAAGGAAUUGAUGGGGGCCUGCACAAGUGGUGGAGCAUGUGGUUUAAUUCGAUACAACACGCAAAACCUUACAGCCCUUGACAUAUGAACAACAAAACCUAUCCUUAAUGGGAUGGUACUGACUUUCAUAUAAGUGCUGCAUGGCUAUCGUCAAUUCGUGUCGUGAAAUGUUUGGUCAAGUCCUAUAACGAGGAAAUUCUCAUUUUGUGUUGAGAAGACAUGCACCUAAGAAGAAAGUCUUUGCAACUGAAGUGAGCUGAGGAGCCGAGUGACAUGCCAGCACUUUUGAUGAUGAUAAUGGUCUUAGAAUAUUAUUUACUAUUAUCUUCAUGAUGAGGAAGCAGCGGUAAAUUUCAAUUAUUAUAUUUCAUAUCAUUGAUUAUGUGAUUAUUUUUGUAGCCUGGCUAAAUACUGAGAUUCUUAUCACUUAACAUGAUCUAACUCAAAAGUCCGGUAGUGUGCCAAGGAAAAGUGCUACAAAGAAGAAAACAUCACCUGCAGCACCAAAC